rnacentral:rRNA from 1 species
GUGGGGAAUAUUGGACAAUGGGGGGAACCCUGAUCCAGCCAUGCCGCGUGUGUGAAGAAGGCCUUUUGGUUGUAAAGCACUUUAAGCGAGGAGGAGGCUACCGAGAUUAAUACUCUUGGAUAGUGGACGUUACUCGCAGAAUAAGCACCGGCUAACUCUGUGCCAGCAGCCGCGGUAAUACAGAGGGUGCAAGCGUUAAUCGGAUUUACUGGGCGUAAAGUGAGCGUAGGUGGCCAAUUAAGUCAAAUGUGAAAUCCCCGAGCUUAACUUGGGAAUUGCAUUCGAUACUGGUUGGCUAGAGUAUGGGAGAGGAUGGUAGAAUUCCAGGUGUAGCGGUGAAAUGCGUAGAGAUCUGGAGGAAUACCGAUGGCGAAGGCAGCCAUCUGGCCUAAUACUGACACUGAGGUGCGAAAGCAUGGGGAGCAAACAGGAUUAGAAACCCCGGUAGUCC